rnacentral:rRNA from 1 species
UACGUAGGGUGCGAGCGUUAAUCGGAAUUACUGGGCGUAAAGCGCACGUAGGCGGCUUGGUAUGUCGGGUGUGAAAUCCCCGGGCUCAACCUGGGAACUGCAUCCGAAACUGCCUUGCUCGAGUAUGGGAGAGGGAAGUGGAAUUUCCGGUGUAGCGGUGAAAUGCGUAGAGAUCGGGAAGAACAUCGGUGGCGAAGGCGGCCAGCUGGGCCGUUGCUGACGCUGAGGCGCGACAGCGUGGGGAGCAAACAGG